rnacentral:rRNA from 1 species
GGCUCAGAUUGAACGCUGGCGGCAUGCUUUACACAUGCAAGUCGAACGGCAGCGCGGGGCAACCUGGCGGCGAGUGGCGAACGGGUGAGUAAUACAUCGGAACGUACCCAGAAGUGGGGGAUAACGUAGCGAAAGUUACGCUAAUACCGCAUACGUUCUACGGAAGAAAGUGGGGGACCUUCGGGCCUCAUGCUUUUGGAGCGGCCGAUGUCUGAUUAGCUAGUUGGUGAGGUAAAGGCUCACCAAGGCGACGAUCAGUAGCUGGUCUGAGAGGACGACCAGCCACACUGGGACUGAGACACGGCCCAGACUCCUACGGGAGGCAGCAGUGGGGAAUUUUGGACAAUGGGCGCAAGCCUGAUCCAGCAAUGCCGCGUGAGUGAAGAAGGCCUUCGGGUUGUAAAGCUCUUUUGUCAGGGAAGAAACGGCCUGGGUUAAUACCUUGGGCUAAUGACGGUACCUGAAGAAUAAGCACCGGCUAACUACGUGCCAGCAGCCGCGGUAAUACGUAGGGUGCAAGCGUUAAUCGGAAUUACUGGGCGUAAAGCGUGCGCAGGCGGUUUUGUAAGUCUGACGUGAAAUCCCCGGGCUCAACCUGGGAAUUGCGUUGGAGACUGCAAGGCUGGAGUCUGGCAGAGGGGGGUAGAAUUCCACGUGUAGCAGUGAAAUGCGUAGAGAUGUGGAGGAACACCGAUGGCGAAGGCAGCCCCCUGGGUCAAGACUGACGCUCAUGCACGAA